AGAACCGGCCCGGCUGACACUGGAAUUUCCACUAGGACUCGACAUGGAACUACUUGGUGCUUCUUUCAAUGGCCCGGUCCCAUUUAAGUGAGGUUUCCCACACCUAGGAACACCACCUCCUCUCGUCUGUCCCUGACCACCAUAAACCUUUCAUGGGCCCGUGUUUUCUGGUAAGUAAUCAACAACUAUUUCUGUCCGAGAACAAAUUCUUUCUGCUCCUAUCUGAAAGAAAAGAACAGGCCCCUUGGGCACAGAGUCACAUAUGUUUUCCUUGGCUGGGUUUCUUGGAAGCCCGCUGCUCUACAGGUGGAAGAAAGUGCCAGCUUGUGGGGAAUGACCACUGGCCAAGGGAGACGGGGGGCACGGGCAGACACAGAGCUGCUCUGGGCGCCGUUCCCCCCGCUCCAUGUCCCCUCUGAAUCUUACUCAUGAACUGUUCUGCUCCAGACUCCACCUCUGCUGCUCUAUCCUAGAGGGGCAAACUGGUGGCCGUGGGUGAGAUCUCAUUCACAGAGGGGUUCUGCACGGCCUUCACAGUUUUCUUAAAUACCUGAAUUAGUUGCUAUCUUAACACUAGAAGGUUUCACAUGAAGGAAAACAAAAAACCUUGAAAAAAAUCAGUCUUAGCCGCGCCUCUACACAGGGCACAUGCUCUCCAGCGGCCCAGGGUCCUGAUGUCACUAUUAAGCAGGGUCCAGUGCAGGAGCCCAUUCCCUGCCCAGCUCCCAGAGGCAUUUGAUUUCUGACUCCAGCUGGAACCAAACACUGUCCAAUGUCCAUAAAAAACAGCACAGAAUAGACCAUCUGCUGAUUCAAAACAAAUCACACUCGAGUGGAAAGGCUGUUACAGCACUAUGGUAUGGAGGGGGGGGCUGCUUCCACACACGGACAGGUUGUCCAUAAUCACUGCAUAAGGCCAGCGGAUGUCCGGCCUUCCCUCCUGAAGCCCUGUGUGUCACGUGACCCAGCCAUCCCACCAAUUCUUCCGGAGAGGCCAGCAGGAGGUGCAUCUGACCCGCUGGAUGGGAGACAGGACACAUCACACUACUGAAAGGACUACAUGGACACACUGAAAAUAUGCUUUCUGGAAACACAGCAAUGAAUCAUCAGUACUAGAGGUUUCCAGCAGAUACCACCCUGAAUCCUGGGUGAGAACCGGAUGAGCGAGCAAGAGCCUUAACUGCGCUGGGAGAAAGCGAGCCCCACUCCAUCACCGCCUCUCCUAACAAGGAGUCCAUGAAAACGCUGCUCACCACGUGUGUCCCCUGGGCCACACAAGGCGCAGCAGCUACCACGGGCCGUCCCCCGCAAACCUUCCCAGUCAUGGAGCACCGAGCCUCCCCAGGGCAGAGGUGCGCGCCUCUCAAGAGUGUAAACCUGUAGACACUGAGCACUCCGGCCCCGGGAGCACGGAGACCCUGUGUCCUCCCACACAGCACAGAAGCUAACAGGAGUCUCGUGGGGGACAGGGGGGUGUUCCUGAGACACCCCCAACCCCGACGCAAGCCACCCCACCGCCACAUCCUCUUACUUGCUGCACUUAUAAGAGUUUUCCCCGUCGAGCUGCUCCGGCUUCACAAACUGCUCCAAUGCCUUGUUCACACUCUGAGCGGCCUGCAAGAGAAGGACAGCGUCAGCACCACGGGCCCUCUCACUGCCCCUGACCGAAGGAAGAAGAGACGACUCAAAGGUCUAGACGCCAAUAUGAAUUUUUAUGUAGAAGGAAAUUUCUCUUUUAUUACGAUGUUGACUUUUAUACAUGUACCCAUCCAAUUAUUGUCCCCUUGUUAAAAACCAUGCAGAUCAAAGUGAACGACCUGUAAAAAGUUCCUCACUGCAGCAUUUUCAAAAAGAGCAUAAAACUGGAAACAAACCAAAUACCCAUCAGCAAGGAAAGGGGCAUGUGCAUGGUGGUGCUCAUGCUCAGGGGGCCGCCACAUGACUGUCAAGGUCCGGGCGCACAGAGAAGCCACCGAGCAGAACUACGGGAAAGGUGGCAAGUGGCUAAACAGGCCUAAGGUGUAAUCACAUUUUUAUAAGCAAUAAAUAAUGGGUUCUGGAACAGUCUCU